AGUGAACGCUGGCGGUAGGCCUAACACAUGCAAGUCGAACGGCAGCACAGUAAGCGCUUGCUCUUACGGGUGGCGAGUGGCGGACGGGUGAGGCAUACAUCAGAAUCUACUUUUUCGUGGGGGAUAACGUGGAGAAACUUACGCUAAUACCGCAUACGACCUACGGGUGAAAGCAGGGGAUCUUCGGACCUUGCGCGAUUGAAUGAACCGAUGUCGGAUUAGCUAGUUGGCGGGGUAAAGGCCCACCAAGGCGACGAUCCGUAGCUGGUCUGAGAGGAUGAUCAGCCACACUGGAACUGAGACACGGUCCAGACUCCUACGGGAGGCAGCAGUGGGGAAUAUUGGACAAUGGGCGCAAGCCUGAUCCAGCCAUACCGCGUGGGUGAAGAAGGCCUUCGGGUUGUAAAGCCCUUUUGUUGGGAAAGAACAGCAGCAGGAUAAUACCCCGCUGUUCUGACGGUACCCAAAGAAUAAGCACCGGCUAACUUCGUG
rnacentral:rRNA from 1 species